UGGGGCUCCAGGGUGCCCAGGCAUCAGGUGGUUCUUCUCUCCUGGCAUUUAUGCACAGCUGGCACUUCAGCAAGAACCUAAAGUCCCUCACGUCUAUUCUUCCUUUUUCCUGGGGGCAAAAUCACUUCCAGAUUGCUUCCUUUAAAUGGAGGCCAGUAAGGGGAUAGUGACACAGUAGACGCUUCUGUGCUGUAGCCCAAACACAUCUCUGCAGGAUGCCAGGGGGCUAGGGCCUGGGCACACCAGCUCCAGAGGCUCCAGGUGCUUUGCUGCAACUUCCUACAGGGCCAAUUAGCUGUCCAGUGUCCGGGUUCAAUGACCGUGCUUUACAAGCAAAUGGCCUGGACUCAUUACACUCUGACGACUGUUUACUUGAAGCUUCUAUCUCAGUUUUUCAUCUGUAAAAUGGGAUAAUGCUCCCUCUUGGGGUUAUUGUGAAGUUGGAAUGCAAGAGAUCUAGAAGUCCUAUGUCCAAAGAGGGUUUGACAGUUAAAGUUUAUUAUUAACUUGGCCGUAUUUAGAAUCAACACAGAAGCAUACCUUUGGGCAGUUCAUGAGCAUGUCUCCAGAAAUAUUUAACUGAGGUGGGGUGGGAGAGCCCAUCCUUAAUUUAGGUGGCAUUGACCUGUUGUGGGAUUUUCAUCAGAGAAGACUGCUCAGACAUUGGUUUAAGCCAAUGAAAGUCUUUAUUAGCCUGCCUGUGACUACGCUGGAUGUUCAGGAUCCACGUGUACAACUGAGCCCUUCUCAGGGUGAGCUUUUAAGCACAAAAACCAUGUCCUGGGUUGACAUUCUUCAGUUAACAAGAGCAGUCAGCCAGAAGCGGAACUACAGAAGCCAAAAAGAAAGGUUGUGCAGUCUCUUUUUAUACUCGUGGAACUAUUCUGAAGAGGAUAGAUCUUGUCUCAUUCUCAACAUAAGUAUAUUAGUUACUGUUUUCAAGUUGUUGAGACAAAAAUACCGGACAAAGAGACUUAACCGAAAGGCUUAUUUUGGCUUACAGUUGGAGGGUCCAGUGCAGCAGGUGGAGAGGUUAUGGCCACUGGGGUAUGAAGCAGCCGCUCGUACAACUCCUGCAGUCAGGAAGCAGAGGUGGAUGGAGCCUGGUCUUCAGGUUGAUAUCUCUCUUUUAGUCAUGCUGGGAUUGCAGCCCAUGGAAUGAUGCCAGCCACAUUUAGGGUGGAUCUUCCCACUUAAUUAACUUAAUUUAUCUAAUAUAUAGUAACACAAUUUAUAGAAUAUCUUAUGGGCAUACCCAGAGGCUUGGUUAGGUGGCUCUAGGUUCUGUCAAGCUGACUGACAAUCGGUGUUAACCCCCACAAUAGGACUGUGUCCUUAUGGUGUCAGGGAGCCAUCUUUUCAUAAAGUGGGACUUCCUGCAGUGCGUUGGUCUGAUUCCAAUGCAGUUAUUUUUGUACGCGUGCACUGCAGGCACUGUCACAAGCUUCCACCAGCCGGAAUGUAAUGUUUGGUUGUCUCUGUCACUGAUGUUGAAGCCAGUGAUCAUCUUCACCCAGAUUCAUUAUUUCCUUCGGGGUUUUCAGAAGCAGUUUUCCAAUGCUCCCAUCCUUACUUGCUCCGGGGUCUCUCUCAAUGGGGAAAUUAUUUCACUAUCAACCUUUUGGUUGCUUUAUGAUAAAGAAAAACAGGUCCAGUAGUGGUGGCACAUGCCUUUAAUCCCAGCACUCUGGACACAGAGUCAGGAGGAUCUCGGAGUUUAAAGCCAUCCUGGUCUGCAGAGAGAGUUUCUAGAUAGCUAGGGCAACGUAAAGAAACCCUGACAGGAAGACAAAAAACAGAAACAAACAACAAAAGAAAUAAAAGAGGAACCAGUGGCAUGCUUUUUUUGCAUUUAACGAAGAGUGUUCUGGUUGUCUCAUAUAUUCUGGAGGUGGCCAGCAGGUUGCCUUGUUUUAUGUUUUCAUAAGGAACUCAUGGAUACAGACGUAGUCAAGUGUUUCAAAUCUGUUCGCUCUUACUGUUGAAACUCAGAUUUGACUUUCUCAUGCCUGACAUGAGGACAACUUUUCUCAUCUGCUCCCUAAGUUCUGGCAUGACCACAACCUCAAUUGUCACAGAUAAGUCCCUCGCUUUCUGGAAAGAAAACCUGUCCACGUUUGGAAUGGACCACUUAAGAGACAAUAUGUUUAUACUGGUAUUUUCAGUUCAAAUUACAAUUAUAGGACUUUAAAAACUUUAAUUUGAUUUUGAAUCUUUUGCUUUUAUGCCAAAGAUUUUGAUGUUUGUUUUGAGACAUGGUUCCACUUUGGAGCUGUGGCUGGCUGGAAAGCACUAUGUUGAUCCAACUGGCCUCAAACUCACAGAGAUUCACCUGCCUCUGCCUCCUGAGUGCUGGAUUAAAGGUGGGUGUCAUCUCUCUAGGGAAAAUCUUAUUUUUUUUCUUUUUUCUUUUCGGGGUUGGGGACCGAACCCAGGGCCUUGCGCUUGCUAGGCAAGCGCUCUACCACUGAGCUAAAUCCCCAACCCGAAAAUCUUAUUUUUAAACAAUACUGUAAUUGCUUCUAUGCUUUAUUAUCUUCUUGGAACACGCAAACACACACAUGUACUUAUAUACUUACACACACAUACACAUACACACAUGGAUACGUACACACAUGUGCUCCUUUGCAUAUGGUAUGCCUGUGUGUUUGCGCAUCGACAGUAAAAUUGGUUACCGGAAAUAGCCACUUUUAUUUUUCUUGGCAGGAUUUUUCUCUGUAUCUCUGACUGUCUGGAAAUUCACUCUGCAGACCUGGCUAGCCUCAAACUCAACAAUCCACCUGCCUCUGUCUCCUGAGUGCUGGGAUUAAAGGCCUGUGCCACCAUGCCUGACAAGACAUAGCUUUCAGUGACUUCACACGCUUCUCACCAGAGCUACACAGCUGAGUUAGUGUGGCUCGAAGCAGUUACAGCAGCCUAUCUCUGCAUCGUUAAGCCAUCAUCUCGAUGCAGUUAAACUUAUUUUAUUUUGCCCUUGAUUUAAAGAAUUGCCUUUUUCAUCUGACUUAACAUUAUUUGUAAUUGCCUCAAACAUCCCUAUGGUUCCCAAAACAAAUCUAGAGAGCAAAGUAUUAGCCAGAGAAAUAUAGAUUCUAUCCCAAAUUCAUCGUUUUAAUCUUUACCUUUAGCUGACAAUUAUUUAUUUUAGAGCUUGUCUUUCCAUUGCAGAACCAUACAGGUGCCCCCUCCCCCUCAGGUCAGUGAAUACUUGCUGUAUGUAAUGGAGCCCAUCUUGCUUAUUCUCCUGAUCCUGGAUUCGUAGCCAUGUGCAGACAUGCUCUGCACUCUCUCCUGAAAGUGCAUGCACAGUAUUCUGUGAAUUCUUAUUUUCUGAGAAACUGGGUGUUAGGACUUAAAUAGACAGAUCUGGGAGUGGACACGGUCAGCUCAAAAAUAGGGCUGCACUGAUGUAUGGAUAGAUUCUGAGAAUAUUGGCAUUGGGACAAUACUAAACCUCCAAUACAGGAAUGAGGAUGUCCCCGUAUCUGUGUAAGUCUCACUUAAGAUCUGUGGAAAGAGGAACGCCAGUGUGUAUCUGCUCUCUUUCUUCCCUCUUUUUCACUUAGGCUAAGACCCCAGGCAUGGGGUGUUGCAUCUUUCCUCUCAGUCAAGCCUCUCUGGAAACGCCCUCAUGGACACACAAAGAAGUGUGUUUCCUAGGUAGCUCCAAACCUUGUCAAGGUGACCACGAAGACUAACAGUCUCAGCAGCUGAGACGCUGUACAGUUGCAUUGUGGGUGUUCAUGGAUGGUUAAAUCUGCCUCUCAAUAUUUUCUAGUUGGUGGUUGCUCUUAUGAAUGACGCUUUCCAGUGUACUUUAUGGUUGCUUAUGACAACUCUGUGGAAAUGUGAUGACUAUUUGUACACUGACCUUGGUCCUGAAUUUCCUCUUCUGUUUAGUGGAUGUAGGUGUUCUAUGUGCACUGCCAUUUGCGUCUUGCUCUCUAACCUUUGUGCCUUUGUUUUCCUCACUGGACAGUCUACGACCUUCAGUUCAAUGCAGAAUAGAGGGAUAAGUGCUGGUUUCCUUCACUGACUCCUCAUCUUAGAGGAGCCUUCUACCGCAUUUAUCUCAAGUGUGACGUUUUUGUGGUUACUCUUUAGCAGACCGUGGUGGCUAAACAAGGGCCCCUUACCAGUUUCCAGCUGUGGGGAAACAUAGUGAUGACAGCUCUGAAGUUGUGUCUUCAAACCCACCACCAUGUCUGCACUGAAGCCGCUCUUCCCACAGUGUCUUCCAGCACAUGCUCACAGACACGGGAGUCAUCUGUCCUGCCACAUAGACUUGAGGAUUCCCUCGUUACUACGGUUGGCCACUAAGACUGCAUUGUGGUUUCAAACUGCUCCAUACCAACCACUCUCUCUUCUUCCCUUUGCUGGGACACAUUUGCUCUGUGUCCUGACAGCUCAUUUGUCCUGAAGCUUUUUUGCUGUUUUUUUUUUUUGAAGGAGCAAUUCUCCUAAUAAUGCAUGGUGGUUUGAAUGAGAAUGGCUCCCAACGGGCUCAUAUAUGUGAAUACGUGGCCCUCAAUUGGUGGAACUGUUUGGGAAGGUCUAGGAGGUGUGGCCUUGUUGGAGGAGGUGUGUCACUGGGGGUGGGCUUUGAGGUUUUAAAAGCCCAAGCCAUUCUGUUAUUGUUUUCUGCCUCAUUCCUGUGGAUGAGGAUGUGAGCUCUCAAUGCUUGCUCUAGUGCCAUGCCUACAUGCCUGCUGCCAUACUCCCUGAAAUGAUAAUCAUGGACUCUAGCCCUCUGAGCCCCAAAUUAAAAAUACUUUUAAAGUAAGUUGCCUGUGUCUUACCAUAGCAAUAAAAGAGUAACUAAGACAUAA
ensembl:lncRNA